AGGGAUGUGGCGCAGCUUGUUAGCACGUUUGUUUUGGGUACAAAAUGUCACGGGUUCAAAUCCUAUCAUUCCUA
rnacentral:tRNA from 1 species